rnacentral:misc_RNA from 1 species
GAUGAAGAACGUAGCGAAAUGCGAUAAGUAAUGUGAAUUGCAGAAUUCAGUGAAUCAUCGGAUCUUUGAACGCACCUUGCGCCCUCUGGUAUUCCGGAGGGCAUGCCUGUUUGAGUGUCAUGAACACCUCACCCCCUCGGGUUUCCGAUUGGGUGGAUUUGGGUGCUGCCAGUUACAUGGCUCGCCUUAAACGCAUUAGCGGUUGUUGACGUAAUAAGUUUCGUCUUGUCGACCGCUUCUAAUCUCCUUCGGGAUGUCUUUCGGGACACUUCAUGAUCUGACCUCAAAUCAGGUAGGACUACCCGCUGAACUUAAGCAUAUCAAUAAGCGGAGGA